AUUGAACGCUGGCGGCAGGCCUAACACAUGCAAGUCGGACGGUAGCACAGAGAGCUUGCUCUUGGGUGACGAGUGGCGGACGGGUGAGUAAUGUCUGGGGAUCUGCCCGAUAGAGGGGGAUAACCACUGGAAACGGUGGCUAAUACCGCAUAACGUCGCAAGACCAAAGAGGGGGACCUUCGGGCCUCUCACUAUCGGAUGAACCCAGAUGGGAUUAGCUAGUAGGCGGGGUAAUGGCCCACCUAGGCGACGCUCCCUAGCUGGUCUGAGAGGCGGACCAGCCACCAUGGAACGGAGACACGGUCCAGACGCCUGCGGGAGGCAGCAGUGGGGAAUAUUGCACAAUGGGCGCAAGCCUGAUGCAGCCAUGCCGCGUGUAUGAAGAAGGCCUUCGGGUUGUAAAGUACUUUCAGCGGGGAGGAAGGCGGUGAGGUUAAUAACCUUGCCGAUUGACGUUACCCGCAGAAGAAGCACCGGCUAACUCCGUGCCAGCCGCCGCCGUAA
rnacentral:rRNA from 1 species